rnacentral:lncRNA from 1 species
GUGAAAUGAUGCAUAGACACAUUAUUCAUAUUGACAAUCCAGUAACAGAAUGGCUUUUCAUCAGCAUACCCAAAAUAUCUGACAAGAUAAAUUUAGAGGAGGAAAAGUUUACUUUGGGCUCAUAGUUUCAGAAGACUCAGUCGAUGGUCAGCCAAUCCAGUCGCUCUGGGCCUGAGGUGAGGCAGAACAUCUUGAUGGUAGUGUGGGGCCAAAGAGUGCUGCCCAGGCUCAUAGCAACCAAAAAGCAGAGAGGAAGCAGCCAGUGACAGAUUUCAAUGCCAUAUCCCUAGUGACCUACCACCUCCAGCCAUGCCCACAUGCCUACAGUUACCAACCAGUAGUGCAUUCAAAUUAUUAAGCCAUGAAAUGGAUUAAUCUACUUAUGAGGUUAUAUCCCUAAUCACUGCCUAAAAGCCCCAUCUCUGAAUCUUACUACAUUGGGGAAUCAUGCUUUCAAAACAUGCGCUUUUGUGGAGAUAUUUCUAGAUCCAAACCAUAACCCAUAAUGGAUAAACUAAAACCCAAAAGAAUUGACAUAAAAUUAGUCCUGUACCCAAAUUUAUAAAAACAAGCAUCCCAGAUAAGUUUAAAGACAAAAGUAUAACAUGUGAAGCAGAAAACUUUUGUUCAAAUGAAAGAGAUCUAAAUGCAGUAUGAGAAGUCCUUGCUUUAUCAGGGGUUGCAAUUCUGGAAAGCUAUGAUGUUAAAACUUUAGUCUCUCAGUCACACUUUCUAUUUUUCAGAUGCUCAGCAGCCACAUGUGGCUAAUGGCUACUGUAUUGGGAUGGCACAGAUGUGGUGUUCUCUGAACUUUCCACCAUUGCAGAGUUCUGUUAGGCAUCCCUGAGAAAAUCUAGCACAUUUCACCUUCUCUUUGUGGAUUUCUGAAUGACAGGUAUUUCCAGGUGAAAUAAAUGGACAUCCUAAUGCCUCCUUCAACAUGUGGGCCAUUCUUCUCAAAGUUAGCCGGGACAUAAUUUUGCAGUUUUUCUGUUCCUUAGCACUCCCUGAGAUUCCCUCUGGCAAAGCUGUCCUCCCUAGAAAGCCCCUUCAGGCUGCCCCGCAGCUCACUAAGGCCUCUUUUCCACUUCAUCAGAGCUGACUUGCCUCCCUCACUAUUCUGUGAUUCACCUUUCCUGACUGGAUUCUGCACUGUGAACAGAUUUCUAGUGGGCAUGUUCUAACCUGUUCCAGCCUCUUCUCUGAACUCUUGCUCCUCUGUAGACAUAAUUAGAGCCUGGUUGAUGUUCUUAUUUCUGCCAUCUCAUUAUCAAUAGUAUUGAGACUAUUUGACAUGUUUUAUCUAACAAGUAGUCUCUAAAAGUUGGGCUUAGAACUUAUGAAUAAACUAGAAGAACAUAAAAAUCAGGAAGAGUUUAAAGAAAAGCAUCCUAUGAGGUUCAGAGGGGAAAAAAUGAAAAACCAAAGACAUUGUGAGGAAGCCAGGAGGUGUGAGACACUACCCUAACUCAAGACCUCACAAAUGCACAGAGCUGCUUGGGGAGAUGCCUUAAGACUGGGUGAUGGCUCUUGUUCAGCUGAGACCUCAGUAUGACAGAGCAGGGAUCAUGUAAGUAAGAGCAGAUUGUUCAAACCAUAAUGACUCCAGGGCUUCAGAAGUGAAAAACGAAAAGCAGUGAGUACCCUCAAUUAGCUUCUCUUUAGAUUAGAAAAGAUAAAUUCAAGAAUUAUAUAUUUUUCAGAAUUACAUAUAUAAGAUUUAUAAGGAGUUUAAAUCAGAUAAAUAAAUCCUAAGUUACCUAUGAAUGGAAAUGCAAAAUAGAUUUUUAUUCUAUUUAAAACUAUUUUGUAUUCAAGGAAUGGAGACAAAUUUCCUGGUGGAGUUAGUGCAAACAACAAGGCAGUUAUUGGAGAGCGGGGCACAGGUAUUAGAGGUCAGCUGUAGUAAGCACUGAACAUCUCUCCUCCUGCUUUAAGCAUUUAAUCAGCAUCUUUAACCAACUUAAUUUAUGAACGUAACUAUGUGUAUGACCUCUUUUAAUUAACUAGAUAAAAUUGUUUUGAUAUCAUGUAUUAUCUCCAGGGUUCAUUUUCAUGUUAUCUCUAUUAAUGGAGUCCAGAUAUUACAUGGCUCUAAAAGAUUAAAAGUAUUGUUCUUCAGCACUUGGUAGUGUCUGAUGAGAUAUUCACACACACACACACACACACACACACAUGUGUGUGACUGAUAGAAAGCGUCUAUCACCCAAGGUUAUCAUUAUGUUUUGUUCCUGGGGGUCUAAGAGAUGGUAAAUAAUAGGUGACGAUUUUUUAAUGUUGGUUCAUCUUCCCAAAUCCUAGAUGUGGUGUGAUAGUCAUUUCUACCUUGAGUUUCCUGACAAAUUUAAAUGAAUUGAACUUGCAUAUUCCAAAACAAACUUUUUUUUCCUCCUGUCACAGACAUGGACCUUUACUAUAGAGCCUUCCUUCUACAGAUUGCCUUAUGUAGUUUCAUCUCUACUAUAUAUUUUUAUAUCUUAGAAAAGAAAAAGAAAAAAGAAAAAGCCACCCCCCCACACCAGUAUCACUGAAGUGUGUAGUUGGUUUCUGCUUCCAAAGCCUGGGGGUGGGUGAGCAUGAAAGCAGGCCUUCACUUGAAGCCAAGUGGCUGUUUCAGUCUCUUUUCUGUAAAACACUCCCAGUCCAUAAAGUGCUUGCAAGUAGUGAGUGUUGUUUUACCAUUUCAUGUCCGAAUUCCUGGCUUCCACUCAGCCUGCUGUUUUGAAAGGAAGUAAACAGUCUCCUUAAAGUACGUUGUCGAUGUCUUUUUUGUAU